rnacentral:miRNA from 1 species
AUCCUUCGUCCCUGGGUGAGA